GCCAGCAUGGCAUAGUGGUUUGAGCAUUGCACUCUGACUCUGAAGACCAGGGUUCAAUUCCCAGUUUGGCC